CUCCCGGGCCUCCGGAUCCUGGCUGGGAGCCAUCUCUGCCUCCUGCCGCUUCCUGCACUCCUGAUCAGAUCUUUAAGAAAUCUGCAAACUGCUUUCCACAGGGGCUGCAUUAAUUUGCAUUCUCACCAAAGUGUGUUAGCCCCUGCAGAAACUGGAUAAACCCUGGAGAAUGACUGUAGUCUACACCAGGAUUAAACAAAUAGUAACCCUGAUUGCAGGUGCUGUACUAGACAUAGUAUCUUUGGUAGAACCAAUUAGUGAGGCUUUCGGUACAACCAUUGACAUGGGAGAUGCAUUCUUUUCCAUUCCAAUCAAGAAAGAGGAUCAGAAAUGGUUUGUAUUUAGGUAGGAUAGAAAACAAUAUUAAACUGAAGUUUUGCCUCAGGGCUAAAUGAACUCUACUGCCUUCUGUCCUAAAAUAGCUUGAGGAUAUGUGGACCACCUGAAUGUCCCACAGAACAUCAUGACACCUUGGUGAUGGGGCAGAACCAACAAUAGAUGGCUAUCUCACUAGAGGUCUUGGUAAGAUACAUGCACUAGAGAGGAUGGGAAAUAAACCCUAUAAAGAUUGAGAGAUAUACAUGUCAAUAAAGUCCUUACGGAUCCAAUGCUCAGGGUCAUUCCUGAAUAUCUCCUCUAAAUUCAAAUAAAACCACUGCAUCUUGCAUUCCCUACCACAAAGAAGGAAGCACAGUGCAUGGUGUGCCUCAUUUGCUUCUGAUGGCAACACAUUUCAUACCUAGGAAUGCUGCUUCAGCCCCUAUACUGGAUGACACAAAAGGGUGCUAACUUUGAGUGGAGCCUAAACUAGGAAAGAGCUCUGCAACAGGUCCGAACUGGAGUGCAAGCACACCUGCCACUGGAGCCGUGUUAUCUCACGGACCUCAUGAGGUUGUAGGUGUCAGCAGUGGGACAAGAUGCAUCAUAGGGUGGAAAUUGUAUAUCUAAGAUCAAACCUAGGCAGGACUGGAGGAUACGCAUGAGUAAUCCACAUAAGCUGGUAGCCCAGACCCCCAUGUCACCCACCGCGGCUAUACCAGCGCUCCUGCCUCAGCUCAUAUUUAUGGCCAUAUUGGAGUGCUGACACACUGAUCUGGGGUUACUCACUCACAUCAGGCACUGGAUGAGUACAGUGUCCUGGGCUAAAGUUGAUCUAUCCCAGACCCUCACCUUCAGCAGCAUCAGUGGCCCUCACAGCAGCUCUCCCUCCUCUGUAUUCCUACUUAGUGGCAGCUGUGGCCUGCAGCACCCAGAAACAGUGAGGUAGAGGGAAUGGCAAGCAUCCAUUACCCUGUGCUCCAUCAAUGGCACUGUCACCCCCUCUGUAGGCUCUGUGCCAUGUGUCAGGUAGUACCCAGGGCUUGUGAGACAUCACUCCAAGUUUCCAACCAGGUAUGCUCUUGAUUCCAGUGGAUGUGAUGACGUUGUGCUCUCUCAGGGCUUAGGCUAUGCCAGAGGAGGGAUGAACAUUCCUUGCUGAAUGAGAUCCCUCUAGCUGUUCCACCCAGGGCCUCUGGCCUGUCCUUUCCUUUGGUGAUGGAGUGUAGAAGGCAGGCGUGGAGUUAACACAGAAAGAUUUAACUUUCUGUGUUAGGCAGGCAUGGAGUUAACCCUCUGAAAACACAGGAUGCCAGUCUAAAGAGUGAAGAGAAAAUGUGGUUGGAAGAUGUGUUCUUCUACCUUUACAUCAUAAAUUUCAGAACAGUGCAUUUCAUGACCAGAAGAUGAAUUACUGUUCACAUUUUUCUGCAUGCUCUGGAUAAGAUUUGCAAUUGUGAUCAUUGCCAAUGGAAGCACAGUAACAGCUUUCAGAGGGUCAGUGGAAGCCAGUAUGGAAGAUAUACGCUGGACAAGGCAGCCUCUUGAGUGAUGAUGUAACUACCAUUAAACACAUGGUAUCAGGGAACUACAGAGGUAUGAUCUGUGUUGCUUCAAUACAAAAAAGUGAAGAAGAGCCACGGCACUGCCAGUAAUAAUGACGUUCCAUGAGAGAUAUACAAGUAGCCAGAACUUUUGCCACUAAGAAGAAACUUCACACUGAAAGGACAAUAGAUAAAUAUGUAAAUGCAUCUUGUCUACCUAUCACUCUAAAUCAAUUGAUCAGUGUAUACAUCACCAUGCCUCAUGAAUUUUGUCAUAAAUUUUUAAUCAAAUUGUUUAUGCAGAGGAUUCACGAAAAUGAGAGAGAUAAUCUGCCCUGGAUUAAUCAAUGACAUUUACCAAGCUCUAAUAAGAACAAGAAUUGUGCUAGAUACCAUGGAUACAAUAAAGAACAAUGCACAAAUGGACUAAAUGUAACUCACUGUCUAAACUGGUAGCAAUGCAUAUAGACAGACGCAGGGUGUCCUGAGCAGGGACAUAGGAAGGGGUGAUGGAAUGAACACCCAGCGAUGGUUCCGUACUGAUGUUCCCAGUUGAAGUCAUCAAAAAGGUGACCACUCCACAGGAACUCCAUUUGAGGGCCUUGUUCAAUGGGACUUUUCAGCCAUCCUCCCAAUCCAAGUAUUUUCUUCACCUAUUAAACUUGUCUUUGAUUAGCUCUCCAUUGGUCAGAGAUUCUGUGAGAUACCUAUGAAAAGAUGGAAGUGACACUUACAUAUGCCUAUCCCAACAGCCUAGCUGGAAAUCACCAAAAUGAGGCAAGAGAACAGGGUUUUUAGUGAACCUUUUUCCUGUGUGCCUGUUCUAGUUGAAGAAUCUGGGUUUAAUAGACCUAGAAUUCUUUAUAAAAGAAUUCUUGCCAGGCCAGGCGUGGUGGCUUACGCCUGUAAUCCCAGCACUUCAGGAGGCCAAGGCAGGUGUAUCAUGAGGUCAAGAGUUUGAGACUAGCCUGACCAACAUGAUGAAACCCCGUCUCUGCUAAAAAUACAAAAAUUAGCUGGACGUGGAGGCACAUGCUUGUAAUCCCAGCUACUCAGGAGGCUGAGGCAGGAGAAUCAUUUGAACCUGGGAGGCGGAGGUUGCAGUGGGCCGAGAUCGCACCAUUGCACUCCAGCCUGGGCGACAGAGUGAGACUUUGUCUG
rnacentral:lncRNA from 1 species